rnacentral:tRNA from 1 species
ACCUGAGUGGCUCAGUCGGUUGAGCGUCUGACUUUGGCUCAGGUCAUGAUCUCACAGUUCAUGGGUUCAAGCCCCACGUUGGGCU